rnacentral:rRNA from 1 species
AACGAACGCUGGCGGCAGGCUUAACACAUGCAAGUCGAACGCAUCCUUCGGGGUGAGUGGCAGACGGGUGAGUAACGCGUGGGAACGUGCCCUUCAGUUCGGGAUAACCCCGGGAAACUUGGGCUAAUACCGGAUACGUGCGAGAGCAGAAAGAUUUAUCGCUGAAGGAUCGGCCCGCGUCUGAUUAGCUAGUUGGGGGGGUAAUGGCCCACCAAGGCGACGAUCAGUAGCUGGUCUGAGAGGAUGAACAGCCACAUUGGGACUGAGACACGGCCCAAACGCCUACGGGAGGCAGCAGUGGGGAAUAUUGGACAAUGGGCGCAAGCCUGAUCCAGCCAUGCCGCGGGAGUGAUGAAGGCCUUAGGGUUGUAAAGCUCUUUCGUCCGGGACGAUAAUGGCGGUACCGGAAGAAGAAGCCCCGGCUAACUUCGUGCCAGCAGCCGCCGUAA